GUGCUAGUCGUCCGAGGUAACCGUACUGGAUCCCUGAGUCCUGCCGAGGUCGCCGGAGUAACUCGUGGGCGACCUGCCUGUAGGACUGGGAUAACUCCGGGAGACCGGGGCUAAUACCGGAUAAUUCUUUCCCUCACAUGAGGGAAGGCUGAAAGAUGGUUUCGGCUAUCACUUACAGAUGGGCCCGCGGCGCAUUAACUAGUUGGUGAGGUAACGGCUCACCAAGGCCACUAUGCGUAGCCGACCUGAGAGGGUGAUCGGUCACACUGGGACUGAGACCCGACCCAUACUCCUACGGGAGGCAGCAGUAAGGAAUCUUCCGCAAUGGACCAAAGUCUGACGGAGCAACGCCGCGUGAAUGAUGAAGGUUUUCGGAUCGUAAAACUCUGUUGAUAAGGAAGAACAAGUACCGGAGUAACUGCCGGUACCUUGACGGUACCUAACCAGAAAGCCACGGCUAACUACGUGCCAGCAGCCGCGGUAAUACGUAGGUGGCAAGUGUUGUCCGGAAUUAUUGGGCGUAAAGCGCGCGCAGGCGGUUCCUUAAUGCUGAUGUGAAAGCCUCCGGCUCAACCGUGGAUGGUCAUUGGAAACUGUGGAACUUGAGUGCAGAAGAUAAGAGUGGAAUUCCACGUGUAGCGGGGAAAUGCGUAUGAGAUGUGGAGGAACACCAGAGGCGAACGCG
rnacentral:rRNA from 1 species